AGUCAGUCAGUCAGUCAGUCAGUCAGUCAGUCAGUCAGUCAGUCAUUAGAUAGAUGUUGGUUACUUCUUGUAACCUUUUUUAUUUAUGUUUACCGUUUUAAGAAAAACUAAUAAGUUUAACAGAAAAUCUAUUUCUUAGGGUGAUAAAAUAGUGCUGUUUAACAUAAUUACUUCAGAUAUGAGUUGUGGUCCUGUUUUUUACAAUUAUUCCCAGCAAUAGGUCUUGUAUGUUACACAAAGGAAAACUGUUGUGUAAACGCUCAAUUUUUCAUCUUUUUUCACCAAACUAUGCCAGGUUGAGAGCGUGUAAGUAACCUUAACAAGCUUUUAAUACCCGUUAUUAUCCCACGCAUUUGGUUAAAAAGUUACGAGGUGAAAUAAAACUUUGUAAGAUCUGCAUUAGGUUAGCUUUGAUCUCUGGUCAAAAUCGACUAUUAAAAUUUUUUGUUCAUGAAAUAGCACAAUAUUUUGUUAAUAAAACGACCAGCUUUUACUCAAACGCUUUGAUUUUUUGCAUGUUGUUUUCUGAAAUGUCAGAAAACAUAGUCCCAAAGUUUCGAGGCGCUGUCAUUAAUAGAUCUUAUUUUAUUUACGUUUUUUACGUAAAAAUUCAUGUUACAAAAAGGAACUGUUCCUUAAUGUAACCAAAAAAGUCCUUUUUGUAACUCGAAAAAAAAUUUACUCCUCCAUGAUGAGGCGUGAAGCCGUUAUUCUGGUAUGAUCAGUUUUUGGAUACUUCUAGAAAUUGACUAAUAUUAAAAUUGCACUCUCAACCCUCCAAAUUUGAAAGAAAAAGAACGUUUUAGAUUAAGACCUUUUUAUCAAUAUAGGUGAUUUCAAAUAAUUUCCUGUCACCGUUUUUGAAAUCAUUGUUAUAAUAUUUGUACCCCAUUCAACUCGCAUUUUGUUUAAAGAGAACGAACAUUUUUUUUCAUUUUCUUUAAUACACCCCUUUCCAAAAGAAUGGAAUGAAAUAUGGAGCAAAGAGCAAGAUUUCAAAGAAAGGCCUGGUGCGAGUUUAUUGGAAAUUCGUACCCAGGGCCAUUUUACUCGGUUGCUUGUUGUUUUGGGCCUUUUGGCCAUAGGCUUUCUUGGCAAUCUUGCGUCUAAGAACGUUCUGAACGUCUAGUCUUUUACGCUUUUACCAUCCAAAGAAAUCACCGUUUAUAAUUGAGGACAUCUGGUUGAGGAUUAUCACACACCGCUGUUGGUGUGUUUUUGUUUGAGGUAAGGUAAAUAUUUUUGCCUAAUUAUUAAUAUUCAUGACAGAAAUGAAGACCAAUUUAUACCAUGCUCUGUAUUUGCAUAUUAUUACUGUCUGUGAAACAAUGAUUAUAUUUUCUCACUUCAUUUGCACAUGCACUUUUAAAGCUAUAAAUGAGAUUUGUGGUUUAGACUUAGGUUGACAAAAGUUUCCGUGUGCUCAUUUUUCUUAUUUUAUAUUAUUAGAUUUAUACAUUUCUAUUUAUGUAUAGUCUUUAGACUUUACUGCUCAGUCAUUUAUAUAUAAGUGUUUUAAGUCAAUAUUGUUUAAAUUAAUACAGUAAUCUUCAAAUCUUGCUUUUAAAGUAUUUGUGUAUGUUACUACAUGUUUCAGUCAAAUAAUGUGGGUUUUAAUUUAGUUUUAUCCUUAAAAUUAUAAUUGAGUAGUUUGUUUGGGUAAAUACUAAUAGUAUUUACCCAAACAAACUACUCAAUAUUUUAAGUCUAAAACUAAAUGAAAACCCACACUAUUUGACUGAAACAUGUAGUAACAUGUUUGUUCCUUAUGUUAUUAAUAUUUGUGAGUUUUAGUUGAGCAUUGGAAUUAUUAGUUACUUGAAAGAUGUUAUUUGCACUUCACUUGGUUGAACCAAGUGAAUUAGUGUCAAUAACAUCUUUCAAGUUACCUUAGUUAUCAGGACCCAUGUACUCGAUUACCUAAUAUACAGCUAUUUCAAUUAAGGUUGUCCACGAGCAAAGUAGAAAAGUCGAAUACAGUACAAGCAUUCGACUUUUGCGCUUUGCUCGUACCGGUAGACAACCUUAAUUGAAAUACAGUAACUGUAUAUAUGAACUUGCGGUUACAGCUCAGCAAUUGGCUUCUGUAACUCGGCGAGUUAGAUUGCUGCACUGGAAUCGCAGGGUUGUCGGUUCGAUUCCUGCAAUCGUUCCUGGUUAGGCCUGGAAAAUAGUGCAUAUAAGGUAUAUAUACUCACUUGGAUUACAAUACAUGCCAUUUGUGUUAGCCGGUUAAUGGUUUCUUGUUAAGUUUUAGCUUUGAUUUACUGUUUUUAUCAUGUACUAUCAUUGUAAUUUAGUUUUUAUUGCAUACAUGUAUAUCUAAACAGUAAAUGUAUAUUUAAAUACAGCAUUUUCUUGGGCCAAUUUCAGAUCCACUUCAAUGAAAUUUGAAAAAUACUAAGUGUCAUCUACUUAUCGACAUCGGCUGCCAGCUAUUCAUCAUUAACAUUUCUCUAAACGUGAAAUUGGCCUGACAAAUGGCUGUGUGUAAACAUACCUUAAAAUUAAAUAAGUUUUCUUCAUACCAACACAGCAUGCUUGCAAUAUAAUGCAGUACUUUUUGGCUUUACAUGUAUUUGUUGUUAGUAUUUACCCAACCAAUUCACUCAAUAUUUUUAGUACAAAACUCAAUGAAAAUUUAUGUCACUGCUUGUGAACAGCCCCCACUAGUAUAUCAAGUCACUUGAUUUGAUUUGAUUUGAAACAUACAGUAUUUCGGGAUAUUUGUUACCAAUAGUACUGUAUGUUGGCAAAAUCUGGUGUGUUCAAUCUAACUUACUGCACAUAUAUACAGCCGAUAAAAGGUUUAUUCUUAAAUUUUAGCUUUAAACCGAUUUCAUCAUAUUUUCUCAAUGUAACUAUUUUUUACUGCACAUAUAUAAGUGUUCUUUAUUGAAAUAUGCUGUACUUGCUUCGUCCUGCAGUUUCUGUUGAUGCAAAUUCAGUCAUCUGUGACAAUGAUCUUUCCAGUUAAGGUGGCUCAAAUAUGUGUUUACCUGAGCAAAUUACUUAAUAUUUCCAUGAUAAAACUGAAUGAAAACUUAUUUCAUUGCUCUAAUACCAUAUCAAAUCAGUCAGUUUUGCUGAAAACAUGUUUCUACAUAUUGGAGACUUAAUAUUGGCAAAGUUUGGUGUAUACUGGUUAAGCCAAUAAUUAGUUACAUUGUGUUUUAUUAGCCGAUAAAAGUUUAUUUUUAAAUUUUAGCUUUUAAACUGUUUUCAUCAUGUUUUCUCAAAGUAACUUAUUUUUUACUGCACGUAUAUAAGUGUUCUUUAUUGAAAUACAGUUGCUUCGUCCUGCAGUUUCUGUUGAUGCAAAGUCAGUCAUCUGUGACAAGGAUCUUUUCAGUUAAGAUGGCUCAAAUAUGUGUUUACCUGAGCAAAUUACUUAAUAUUUCCAUGAUAAAACUGAAUGAAAACUUAUUUCAUUGCUCUAAUACCAUAUCAAAUCAGUCAGUUUUGUUGAAAACAUGUUUCUACAUAUUGGAGACUUGUAUUGGCAAAGUUUGCGGUAUACUGGUUAAGCCAAUAAUUAGUUACAUUGCGUUUUAUUAGCCGAUAAAAGGAUUAUUUUUAAAUUUUAGCUUUUAAACUGUUUUCAUCAUGUUUUCUCAAAGUAACUUAUUUUUUACUGCACGUAUAUAAGUGUUCUUUAUUGAACUACAGUUGCUUCGUCCUGCAGUUUCUGUUGAUGCAAAGUCAGUCAUCUGUGACAAGGAUCUUUUCAGUUAAGAUGGUUCAAAUAUGUGUUUACCUGAGCAAAUUACUUAAUAUUUCCAUGAUAAAACUGAAUGAAAACUUAUUUCAAUGCUCUAAUACCAUAUCAAAUCAGUCAGUUUUGCUGAAGACAUGUUUCUACAUAUUGGAGACUUAUAUUGGCAAAGUUUGCGGUAUACUGGUUAAGCCAAUAAUUAGUUAUAUUAUGUUUUAUUAGCCGAUAAAAGUUUAUUUUUAAAUUUUAGCUUUUAAACUGUUUUCAUCAUGUUUUCUCAAAGUAACUUAUUUUUUACUGCACGUAUAUAAGUGUUCUUUAUUGAAAUACAGUUGCUUCGUCCUGCAGUUUCUGUUGAUGCAAAUCAGUCAUCUGUGACAAGGAUCUUUUCAGUUAAGAUGGCUCAAAUAUGUGUUUACCUGAGCAAAUUACUUAAUAUUUCCAUGAUAAAACUGAAUGAAAACUUAUUUCAAUGCUCUAAUACCAUAUCAAAUCAGUCAGUUUUGCUGAAAACAUGUUUCUACACAUUGGAGACUUAUAUUGGCAAAGUUUGGUGUAUACUGGUUAAGCCAAUAAUUAGUUACAUUGUGUUUUAUUAGCCGAUAAAAGGUUUAUUUUUAAAUUUUAGCUUUUAAACUGUUUUCAUCAUGUUUUCUCAAAGUAACUUAUUUUUUACUGCACAUAUAUAAGUGUUCUUUAUUGAAAUAUACUGUACUUGCUUCGUCCUGCAGUUUCUGUUGAUGCAAAUCAGUCAUCUGUGACAAGGAUCUUUUCAGUUAAGAUGGCUCAAAUAUGUGUUUACCUGAGCAAAUUACUUAAUAUUUCCAUGAUGAAACUGAAUGAAAACUUAUUUCAAUGCUCUAAUACCAUAUCAAAUCAGUCAGUUUUGCUGAAAACAUGUUUCUACACAUUGGAGACUUACAUUGGCAAAGUUUGGUGUAUACUGGUUAAGCCAAUAAUUAGUUACAUUGUGUUUUAUUGGCCGAUAAAAGGAUUAUUUUUAAAUUUUAGCUUUUAAACUGUUUUCAUCAUGUUUUCUCAAAGUAACUUAUUUUUUACUGCACAUAUAUAAGUGUUCUUUAUUGAAAUACUGUACUUGCUUCGUCCUGCAGUUUCUGUUGAUGCAAAUCAGUCAUCUGUGACAAGGAUCUUUUCAGUUAAGAUGGCUCAAAUAUGUGUUUACCUGAGCAAAUUACUUAAUAUUUCCAUGAUAAAACUGAAUGAAAACUUAUUUCAUUGCUCUAAUACCAUAUCAAAUCAGUCAGUUUUGCUGAAAUAAUGUUUCUACAUAUUGGAGACUUAUAUUGGCAAUGUUUGGUGUAUACUGGUUAAGCCAAUAAUUAGUUACAUUGUGUUUUAUUAGCCGAUAAAAGGUUUAUUUUUAAAUUUUAGCUUUUAAACUGUUUUCAUCAUGUUUUCUCAAAGUAACUUAUUUUUUACUGCACGUAUAUAAGUGUUCUUUAUUGAAAUACAGUUGCUUCGUCCUGCAGUUUCUGUUGAUGCAAAGUCAGUCAUCUGUGACAAGGAUCUUUUCAGUUAAGAUGGUUCAAAUAUGUGUUUACCUGAGCAAAUUACUUAAUAUUUCCAUGAUAAAACUGAAUGAAAACUUAUUUCAUUGCUCUAAUACCAUAUCAAAUCAGUCAGUUUUGCUGAAAUAAUGUUUCUACAUAUUGGAGACUUGUAUUGGCAAAGUUUGCGGUAUACUGGUUAAGCCAAUAAUUAGUUACAUUGCGUUUUAUUAGCCGAUAAAAGGUUUAUUUUUAAAUUUUAGCUUUUAAACUGUUUUCAUCAUGUUUUCUCAAAGUAACUUAUUUUGUACUGCACGUAUAUAAGUGUUCUUUAUUCAAAUACAGUUGCUUCGUCCUGCAGUUUCUGUUGAUGCAAAGUCAGUCAUCUGUGACAAGGAUCUUUUCAGUUAAGAUGGUUCAAAUAUGUGUUUACCUGAACAAAUUACUUAAUAUUUCCAUGAUAAAACUGAAUGAAAACUUAUUUCAUUGCUCUAAUACCAUAUCAAAUCAGUCAGUUUUGCUGAAAUAAUGUUUCUACAUAUUGGAGACUUAUAUUGGCAAAGUUUGGUGUAUACUGGUUAAGCCAAUAAUUAGUUACAUUGUGUUUUAUUAGCCGAUAAAAGGUUUAUUUUUAAAUUUUAGCUUUUAAACUGUUUUCAUCAUGUUUUCUCAAAGUAACUUAUUUUUUAUUGCACAUAUAUAAGUGUUCUUUAUUGAAACAUACUGCACUUGCUUCGUCCUGCAGUUUCUGUUGAUGCAAAUCAGUCAUCUGUGACAAUGAUCUUUCCAGUUAGGGUGGCUCAAAUACUGUGUGUUUACCUGAGCAAAUUACUUAAUAUUUCCAUGAUGAAACUGAAUGGAAACUUAUUUCAAUGCUCUAAUACCAUAUCAAAUCAGUCAGUUUUGCUGAAAACAUGUUUCUACAUAUUGGAGACUUAUAUUGGCAAAGUUUGGUGUACACUGGUUAAGCCAAUAAUUAGUUACAUUGCGUUUUAUUAGCCGAUAAAAGGUUUAUUUUUAAAUUUUAGCUUUUAAACUGUUUUCAUCAUGUUUUCUCAAAGUAACUUAUUUUUUACUGCACAUAUAUAAGUGUUCUUUAUUGAAAUAUACUGUACUUGCUUCGUCCUGCAGUUUCUGUUGAUGCAAAUCAGUCAUCUGUGAAAAGGAUCUUUUCAGUUAAUUUAAGAUGGCUCAAAUAUGUGUUUACCUGAGCAAAUUACUUAAUAUUUCCAUGAUAAAACUGAAUGAAAACUUAUUUCAAUGCUCUAAUACCAUAUCAAAUCAGUCAGUUUUGUUGAAAACAUGUUUCUACAUAUUGGAGACUUGUAUUGGCAAAGUUUGCGGUAUACUGGUUAAGCCAAUAAUUAGUUAUAUUGUGUUUUAUUAGCCGAUAAAAGGAUUAUUUUUAAAUUUUAGCUUUUAAACUGUUUUCAUCAUGUUUUCUCAAAGUAACUUAUUUUUUAUUGCACAUAUAUAAGUGUUCUUUAUUGAAACAUACUGCACUUGCUUCGUCCUGCAGUUUCUGUUGAUGCAAAUCAGUCAUCUGUGACAAUGAUCUUUCCAGUUAAGGUGGCUCAAAUACUGUAUGUGUUUACCUGAGCAAAUUACUUAAUAUUUCCAUGAUGAAACUGAAUGAAAACUUAUUUCAAUGCUCUAAUACCAUAUCAAAUCAGUCAGUUUUGCUGAAAACAUGUUUCUACAUAUUGGAGACUUGUAUUGGCAAAGUUUGGUGUAUACUGGUUAAGCCAAUAAUUAGUUACAUUGCGUUUUAUUAGCCGAUAAAAGGUUUAUUUUUAAAUUUUAGCUUUUAAACUGUUUUCAUCAUGUUUUCUCAAAGUAACUUAUUUUUUACUGCACGUAUAUAAGUGUUCUUUAUUGAAAUACAGUUGCUUCGUCCUGCAGUUUCUGUUGAUGCAAAGUCAGUCAUCUGUGACAAUGAUCUUUUCAGUUAAGGUGGCUCAAAUAUGUGUUUACCUGAGCAAAUUACUUAAUAUUUCCAUGAUAAAACUGAAUGAAAACUUAUUUCAAUGCUCUAAUACCAUAUCAAAUCAGUCAGUUUUGCUGAAAACAUGUUUCUACAUAUUGGAGACUUAUAUUGGCAAAGUUUGGUGUAUACUGGUUAAGCCAAUAAUUAGUUACAUUGUGUUUUAUUAGCCGAUAAAAGGUUUAUUUUUAAAUUUUAGCUUUUAAACUGUUUUCAUCAUGUUUUCUCAAAGUAACUUAUUUUUUACUGCACGUAUAUAAGUGUUCUUUAUUGAAAUACAGUUGCUUCGUCCUGCAGUUCCUGUUGAUGCAAAGUCAGUCAUCUGUGACAAGGAUCUUUUCUGUUAAGAUGGUUCAAAUAUGUGUUUACCUGAGCAAAUUACUUAAUAUUUCCAUGAUAAAACUGAAUGAAAACUUAUUUCAAUGCUCUAAUACCAUAUCAAAUCAGUCAGUUUUGCUGAAAACAUGUUUCUACACAUUGGAGACUUACAUUGGCAAAGUUUGGUGUAUACUGGUUAAGCCAAUAAUUAGUUACAUUGUGUUUUAUUGGCCGAUAAAAGGAUUAUUUUUAAAUUUUAGCUUUUAAACUGUUUUCAUCAUGUUUUCUCAAAGUAACUUAUUUUUUACUGCACAUAUAUAAGUGUUCUUUAUUGAAAUAUACUGUACUUGCUUCGUCCUGCAGUUUCUGUUGAUGCAAAUCAGUCAUCUGUGAAAAGGAUCUUUUCAGUUAAUUUAAGAUGGCUCAAAUAUGUGUUUACCUGAGCAAAUUACUUAAUAUUUCCAUGAUAAAACUGAAUGAAAACUUAUUUCAAUGCUCUAAUACCAUAUCAAAUCAGUCAGUUUUGUUGAAAACAUGUUUCUACAUAUUGGAGACUUGUAUUGGCAAAGUUUGCGGUAUACUGGUUAAGCCAAUAAUUAGUUAUAUUGUGUUUUAUUAGCCGAUAAAAGGAUUAUUUUUAAAUUUUAGCUUUUAAACUGUUUUCAUCAUGUUUUCUCAAAGUAACUUAUUUUUUACUGCACGUAUAUAAGUGUUCUUUAUUGAAAUACAGUUGCUUCGUCCUGCAGUUUCUGUUGAUGCAAAGUCAGUCAUCUGUGACAAGGAUCUUUUCAGUUAAGAUGGUUCAAAUAUGUGUUUACCUGAGCAAAUUACUUAAUAUUUCCAUGAUAAAACUGAAUGAAAACUUAUUUCAAUGCUCUAAUACCAUAUCAAAUCAGUCAGUUUUGCUGAAAUAAUGUUUCUACAUAUUGGAGACUUGUAUUCGCAAAGUUUGGUGUAUACUGGUUAAGCCAAUAAUUAGUUACAUUGUGUUUUAUUAGCCGAUAAAAGGUUUAUUUUUAAAUUUUAGCUUUUAAACUGUUUUCAUCAUGUUUUCUCAAAGUAACUUAUUUUUUAUUGCACAUAUAUAAGUGUUCUUUAUUGAAACAUACUGCACUUGCUUCGUCCUGCAGUUUCUGUUGAUGCAAAUCAGUCAUCUGUUGUUUGUUUUUUAGAAUUGGAUCAAAAAGGUGGUUGCAGGUAUUCAGAUCCUGGAAUGCUGUGAAAUGGCCCUGCUGGACCUGUUGGAACAUUCUAUUGGGUGAACAUCAAAUGAUGUGUGGAGUGAAAUGAAAUGAAAUUUCGAUUCAGUGUGACUGAUAGAAUUGGAAUGGUAUAGAUAAUGAUGAUUUUAGUGAAUUAUGUUAUAUGAUGAUGCAUGGACUGUGAUGAUGUUGGUGAAGCUUGAUUUAUAACAUAGAUAUAAAGUGAUGAUACUGGUGAUAUAUGAGUUGUAAAUUGAUAUGAAAUAUAAGUGAUACAUAAGUCUGACUACUUCUUAAUUAAUAGUCGAGGAACUACAUACCAGCACAAAUGGGAACCGAACUUUGUUAUUCACAAAGAAACUAUACUAAAAUGUGUUCGCAAUUAAAAGUUAUUUUGUUAUUGUUGGAAUAUAGGCUGAUUUACACUAUCAAGGUUUCUGAGAUUUGAUUUUGAAUUAGAAGGAUUUGUUAGAAAUGUUUCAGGGAAUUUUAGAAACGUUACGGACUAACGCCCGUAUUCUAAAAGCUCACUCACACUCAGAGUGGACAUUCAAUCUGAGCUUCUCUCGAGUGUCAAUGCUGUUUUUGAAUCGCUGGAGGGUUAGUGUCGUACCUUACUACGUGACUACUAACCAUCCAGCUAUUCCGGAUUCAACCUCCGCUCAUUGUGUGUGAGUGAGCUUUUAGAAUACGGGCGUUAGUGUUUAUCACUGACCCAGUUUCGUCAAACAUUUCUUACAAAUGCUUCAAAAACUUAGAAUUCAGCUAUGCAAAAUUCCUACUGUGAUCACGGAAACUUUGAUAGUGUAAAACCCGUCCUUAUCGUUCUGUUAUAGUUAACAAAACAAUGACAUUUUAUCGCACUGUCCUUCAGCAGUAAUAGUGUCAGUACUUGUUAUAUAAUUAGAGAGGUUCAGAUUUGACUUCCAAUACCCGACUUACUACUGUACUACCUCUUCACUGGCGUAGUACAAAUUUGAUUGGUUUAUGGCUCCUUAUAAAGGUAGUGGCAGUGCAAGUCAUAUCUGAAACUCUUUCAAAAUUUUCCUAAAAAUGUGGUGACAUUUAAAAGUUAUUUCGCUAUAGUAUAAAAUAUCGUUUUGUUAUAUAGUUGACAAAGCAGUGACAUUUAUUGCAUUGUUGUACAGUAGUAACAGUACCUAUAGGUAUUAUAUUCUUAGGGAGGUUCACAUUUGACUUCCAAUACCACUACCUUCACUGGCUUAGACUUAAUACACAUCUGAUUGGUUAGCAGUCAUUAACGGUAGUGGUAAUGGUAGUGAAAGUCGAAUAUGAACCUUUCUAUAAAUAGUCGAGGAACUACAAUAAUCAAAAUCAAGUGGCGACAAUUAAAAAGUUAUUUUGUUAUAUUUAAAACAUGGUUGUGUUAUUAUAGUUGAAAAAAACAGUGACCUCUGAUUGCGUCUGGAGCCAUCAUGCAUCUUUUAUAAUCGGGUAGUAUAAAGAAGAAUUAUCAGAUCAAUAAGCUUUACACAUAUAGAUAAAUUUAAGACUGUACAAUCAAUUUUUCUCUAGGGGCCAGUUGUUCAAAGCUGGAUUAGCUUAACCCUAGGUUAACCUAAAAUUCAAAGCACACUUCCUGACAGCUUGUCUAUAUAAAUUUGGAAAUAUUUCUUCAGAGAUCUUGUCUGGAUCGAUAGGACUGGAGUUUUCUUCUCUGAAGUUUUGAAAUAAACAGACGCGUAGAAAUACACCUACUAAAACAGCAGGCUAAAUUUUAACCCAGGGUUAGCGUUAGUCCAGCAUUGAACAACCGACCCCUGGAGCAGAGUAAUUACAUUUACUAUAACCUACGCUUAUUUAAAAUUUCCUACUAUUAUAUUAUGUUUAUAUACAUGGCCAGAAAUAAAUAAGGAGUACCUAAAAGUCAUUAAUUGUUAAUGUCAAGUCUCAAUCAGCUGGUUUGCUUUUAGUUCAAGCCCCACAGCAUUUGUCCUGUAUCGUGUACUGCAUAGCAGUUGUCUUUCCAUAGACUGUAUCAUCCAGAACAAAAGCUGAAAAUAUAGGAAUUGAUAAAAUCAGAUUUAUUUAAUUUAGAUUUAUUGGCAUUGAGACAGCACAAAUAAUCUACUAAAUAGUUUUAGGCCAAACAGGGGAUGCUCUUAGGGUGGCCAUUAGCCUGCGAACAGGCUCUCAAGCUGAAUUGAGAGCCUGCAUCGAUGACUAAUGAAUUUGAAUAUCUGCGUCUCAAAUUGUGACGCGAAAUUCUCAUUGGUCAGAUGCUAUAAUUUAUAUGUUUCCGCUGAGCUCUAUAUAUGUCAACUGCUGAAUAAAAAAACACAUUAACUGUUCGUAUUGGUCUUGGCCGUCUUAUCUCAAAGCACGAAAUGUUCUGUUUUGAGAAAACAGUAUUUAAAACAUUUGAACUUUUGCUUGAAUAUCUUAUAUUUCGAAAAAUAGUAUAAACUGUACGGUCUAAAUUUAGUUUGCACGGUCUAAAUUUAGUUUGCACGAAAGUUGUAAACAACACCAUAUAAGGAUAGACAUUCCAUAUUUGGAAAAACGAACGUUACGGGGCAGAUAUUCAAAUUCAUUAAUCAUCGAUGCAGGCUCUCAAUUCAGCUUGAGAGUCUGUUCGCAGGCUAGGUGGCCAUGUCUAAUUGGUUACCAGGUAUAUAUUGGCUUAAUUAACCAUCUACUAGAUUACAUUCGAUUUAAUUAAUACUAUUUUUGUAAAGUAUGUUACAGGAGACAUCGGGGCUUACUAAUUAGGACAAAGAAAUCACCGGACACUAAUAUUUUUAUCUGUAGUUUGCAAAGAGUUUGGAACAAUUUUUCAUACCCAGUUCGUGGCAUUAGUUUUGUACAGUACUAGCUAUAUAAUACUUUUGUUUGAGGAAACAGCAUGUAACUACAUAUGGUGUUUCCACAAACAAAAUUAUUAUAUGAGCAGGUGACGUCAUCCCUUGGGUAUUUAGGAAGCCACGAUUGCAGUUUUAGAUCACCCCUGAUGAAGACACUCGACUGGAGUGUCGAAACGUUGGGUCUUGGUUACAAUUCGACUGGGCUUUAUUUAAACCAGAGUAGCGAGCGAAACAUGAUUGAUAUACCUGGUUGCAGUGAACGAACUAACUUUAAAAGUAUAACUUGUUUGUUUCAAAGUUGAUUUAAUAUUUAACAAAUGUUUGUGUCAUCUGUGCUGCCGUAAUUGAUGUAGAAUAUCAUUCUCAUGCAUGUACAUUUAUAAAAAAAAUUAAAUAUUUACAAGAAAAAAAAGAAAACCCUACAUACCCUGCCUAAAUUUUUGCACAUGAGAAAUAGAAACCCGGGCAUUUCUUUUUUUGGACUUAGUAUGAAGCAUGGAAAGGUAGGUAAAAUUGUUUGGUAUCAGACAGAGUAAAUUAACAAGACAGACUAAAUUAUGAUAUUUGCUGUGUCGGUGUAAUGUACUCAGGUCUGUACGCUUGUCACACAAGCAUCUUAUUCACCUGUCAUGAGUACAUUACACCAACACAGCAAAUAUCAUGAUUAUCAGAUUACACUGAUAUCGAAGGAACUAGACUCAGUUCCAAAAUAUCGCAUACUCGAACCGACCUGACCGCGUAGCUCAGUUGGCAGAGAAUUGGGCUAGUAUUCCAAAGGUCGUAGGUUCAAAUUCCAUUGAGGAACUUGAUUCCCCUAGCAAUUUGCAAGGUUGAAAAUGCGGGUCAGUGGUUGAAAAACAUCGCCUUCCUCUGGAAUACCAAGGUUCCUCAACAGGGGUGUGUGGCCAUGGAUAAAAAUUGGAAUAGUAUCCCAAAUUAGUAAGAUACAAUUGUAUAGACUAAGACCAGGUUGAAUUUGUAAGUGAACUGUUGAGCUAAAGUUUUAUUUUGGAGGACAGUAAUUAAAAAUUGCUAUGUGGAACAUGGAUCAGUCAUCUACAAGCAAUUAUUAUAGUAAUUGUCUUAUCCAGAAAUACCCCAGAUUUUCAGUAUUUUAUCUCCAGAAAUAAGAGAUCAAUCUCAAGAAAUUUUCUAUCAGAUCUCCAGAUUCAUUGCGAUUGGAGGUUGGCAGGUCUGAUUUCGAUAAAUUUCUUCACCAUGUAAGACAUGUAAAUGUGCUUUCAAAUUUUUAGCAAAAAAAUUUGAAACGACGCUAUCCCAUGACACCUUGCGCUCCGCAACUUAAACUAGGCACCAGGCCUCCAGGCAAUGCGCGAACUAUUGCUUCAGUACUUUCUCUACGAAUAUAAGGAAUAUUUGCAAAUGUUUUCUAUCAAUUACUGACUGGUAAUUAAUUUAUUUAUAAUAAAUUCUUGGAAAAUGAAAAUUCUCUACAAUGAUUCAAUAAAACAUGGAAAGAACUCAACUUUAGAAAUUAAAUUAGAAUGUAGUUAUAUGGUAUCAGGGAUGAUGGAAAGGGGGUGGGGCAAGGUCUCCUUUCCUAAAGGGGGCAAAUGUAGCAUUUUGGUAUAAAUAAAACACAAUAUUUUUGUCCCAAAUUUACUUAAAGUGGAAGUCAAAUCCGUUCUGCACAUCGGUUCUGCUCAUAACAAUGUGAGGACCUCUGAUGUAGACAUUGCCCAAAUUUCGAAUGUUUCGAAUUUUUCUGAACAUAUUAAAACUCUAUUUCAUAUUUAUUUAGAAGCAUAGCGAACCAAAAUAGUGUUAGAUAUUCAGACAGUACAUCAUAUUUUAAAAAAUACAGCAGUUCAAAAUGUAAACAAACCGUUUGUUUACAUACGGACUUGACUUCCACUUUAAAUAACAAAUUAAUUAACAAAGAUAAAUAUGAUAGAAGAUAAUUUGUAUACUUAAUUAGCUAUUUCCCAAAGUCCUGGGUCUAGGUGCACAAAUCCCUUGUUGGAGGGACAACAAAUAUGGCAGCACACAUUUAAAUUAAAGUUUAAUGUAAAAAGGAGAUAUUUCAUUUUUAGUCGUGUAAAAAGUUGAUAUUUGAUAGUAGAUACUUCUACUCUUUCACAUAUUUGAUGUCUGUCUCCAUAUAUUUUGUCCCUCCUAUACUAUAAUAUGUACAAAAACUAACCCAUAGCCUCCUCAGAAAAAUACAUAAAAUCGCUUAAAUAUGCAAUAUAUAAUCUGGUUUGAUAGUAUUCUACUUUGAAACAUCUUUAGUUAUUUUGUACUGCAUCACUGAAGUAUAAAAACCCCGUCACAACAGCAUAUGUUCUCAAUACAAGGAACAAAGGUUACAAAUCAGAAACAAAUUAUAGGUUACCUAAAGGAACCAAUGUUACAAAUAGUAACAGGCUAAGUUACGUUAAGGAACCAAUGUUACAAAAAGGAACAGGCUAAGUUACGUUAAGGAACCAAUGUUACAAAAAGGAACAGGCUAAGUUACGUUAAGGAACCAAUGUUACAAAAAGGAACAGGCUAAGUUACCUAAAGGAACCAGUGUUACAAAAAGGAACAAGCAAAGUUACCUAAAGGAACAGGCUAAGUUACUUAAAGGACACUAAGUUACAAAAAGGACCUGAUGGUCCUUUGUGUAACAAGUUUGGUUACACAAGGGCACCAGCAAGUUACACAAAGGAUCAUCGAUAUAACAGUCAGUCAGUCAGUCAGUCAGUCAGUCAGUCAGUCAGUC